AAGCGGCCCGCCACAGACCUGCAUCCGGGGAGCUGCCCGAAACACCUUAGCCGAUUCGCGGCAACGCCCCGGCUCGGCGCCGAGGGACGCCGGUCAAUGUAGUGCUGCGAGAACAGGUCCAACGGGCGCGCCCAGACGACCAAAAUCCAGGGUGGUCCAGGAAAAUCCUGGAUGGGUGGCAACCCUAGUGAUGACAUCCAUUCAUAGUCAGUCAUCGUUUCUCCAUCUCCUGUUACAGGACUGGUGACAGGUCACAGGGUUGCAUCACCAUAAAGCUCUGUGAUGGACUCAUCUGAUAGCUCUGGCAAAGACAUACUCACCUCCAGGAAGUGUUGGAUCUGCUGCUGCACCUCAGGCUCA